UACGAAGGGGGCUAGCGUUGCUCGGAAUCACUGGGCGUAAAGGGCGCGUAGGCGGCCAUUCAAGUCAGGGGUGAAAGCCUGAAGCUUAACUUCAGAACUGCCUUUGAUACUGUUUGGCUUGAGACCGGAAGAGGUAAGUGGAACUGCGAGUGUAGAGGUGAAAUUCGUAGAUAUUCGCAAGAACACCAGUGGCGAAGGCGGCUUACUGGUCCGGUUCUGACGCUGAGGCGCGAAAGCGUGGGGAGCAAACAGG
rnacentral:rRNA from 1 species